GUGUUCACUUUGGCAGCACAUAUACUGAAAUUGGAAUGAUACAGAGAAGGAUAGUAUGGACCCUGUGCAAGAAUAACACUGAAUUACAAAUGGAGCAAUAAAUGAAG
ensembl:snRNA U6 U6 spliceosomal RNA